rnacentral:rRNA from 1 species
UACCAGCACCCCGAGUGGUCGGGACGAUUAUUGGGCCUAAAGCAUCCGUAGCCGGUUCUGCAAGUCCCCCGUUAAAUCCAGCUGCUCAACAGAUGGGCCGCGGAGGAUACUACAGAGCUAGGAGGCAGGAGAGGCAAGCGGUACUCGAUGGGUAGGGGUAAAAUCCGUUGAUCCAUUGAAGACCACCAGUGGCGAAGGCGGCUUGCCAGAACGCGCUCGACGGUGAGGGAUGAAAGCUGGGGGAGCAAACAGG